CCUACGGGAGGCAGCAGUGGGGAAUUUUCCGCAAUGGGCGAAAGCCUGACGGAGCAAUACCGCGUGAGGGAAGAAUGCCUACGGGUUGUAAACCUCUUUUAUCAGGGAGGAACAAAAUGACGUGUACCUGAUGAAUAAGCAUCGGCUAACUCUGUGCCAGCAGCCGCGGUAAGACAGAGGAUGCAAGUGUUAUCCGGAAUUACUGGGCGUAAAGCGUCUGUAGGUUGUUGAACAAGUCAACUGUUAAAUCUUGAAGCUCAACUCCAAAAUCGCAGUCGAAACUGUUUGACUAGAGUAUAGUAGAGGUAAAGGGAAUUUCCAGUGGAGCGGUGAAAUGCGUAGAUAUUGGAAAGAACACCGAUGGCGAAAGCACUUUACUGGGCUAUUACUGACACUCAGAGACGACAGCUAGGGUAGCAAAUGGGAUUAGAUACCCCAGUAGUCCUAGCCGUAAACUAUGGAUACUAGAUGUUGAACAGAUCGACCUGUGCAGUAUUAAAGCUAACGCGUUAAGUAUCCCGCCUGGGAAGUAUGCUCGCAAGAGUGAAACUCAAAUGAAUUGACGG
rnacentral:rRNA from 1 species